rnacentral:rRNA from 1 species
UACAGAGGUCUCAAGCGUUGUUCGGAAUUACUGGGCGUAAAGGGUGCGCAGGCCGCGCGGGCAGUCAAAUGUGUAAUUCAGGGGCUCAACCCCUGCACUGCGCUUGAUACUUCCGCGCUCGAACCUUGGAGAGGAGUCUGGAAUUCUCGGUGUAGCAGUGAAAUGCGUGGAUAUCGAGAAGAACACUUAGGGCGAAAAGCAAGACUCUGGACAAGUGUUGACGCUCAUGCACGAAGGCUAGGGUAGCGAACGGG